rnacentral:rRNA from 1 species
UGGUGGAGUGAUUUGUCUGGUUAAUUCCGUUAACGAACGAGACCCCCGCCUGCUAAAUAGUCACAUUAAUGCCUAGCAUUAUUGUUGGCUUCUUAGAGGGACUUUCGGUGACUAACCGAAGGAAGUUGGGGCAAUAACA